AGGGAUUGCCUCAGUAACGGCGAGUGAAGCGGCAACAGCUCAAAUUUGAAAUCUGGCCUCCUCCGGGGGUCCGAGUUGUAAUUUGCAGAGGGUGCUUUGGUGGUGGCGGCGGUCUAAGUUCCCUGGAACAGGACAUCGCAGAGGGUGAGAAUCCCGUACGUGGGCGCCUGCCACCUCCGUGUAAAGCCCCUUCGACGAGUCGAGUUGUUUGGGAAUGCAGCUCUAAAUGGGAGGUAAAUUUCUUCUAAAGCUAAAUACCGGCCAGAGACCGAUAGCGCACAAGUAGAGUGAUCGAAAGAUGAAAAGUACUUUGGAAAGAGAGUAAAAUAGCACGUGAAAUUGUUGUAGAGGAAGCGCUUGCAGCCAGACUUCCCCGUAGUUGCUCACCCGGGCUCUUGCCCGGGGCACUCUUCUGCGGGGAGGCCAGCAUCAGUUUGGGCGGUCGGAGAAAGGCCUCUGUCACGUAUCUCCCUCCGGGGAGACCUUAUAGGGGAGGCGCAAUGCGACCAGCCCGGACUGAGGUCCGCGCAUCUGCCAGGAUGCUGGCGUAAUGGCUGUAAGCGGCCCGUCUUGAAACACGGACCAAGGAGUCUAACAUCUAUGCGAGUGUUUGGGUGUCAAGCCCGGGCGCGCAAUGAAAGUGAACGGAGGUGGGAACCCUCGGGUGCACCAUCGACCGAUCCUGAUGUCUUCGGAUGGAUUUGAGUAAGAGCAUAGCUGUUGGGACCCGAAAGAUGGUGAACUAUGCUUGAAUAGGGUGAAGCCAGAGGAAACUCUGGUGGAGGCUCGCAGCGGUUCUGACGUGCAAAUCGAUCGUCAA
rnacentral:rRNA from 1 species